rnacentral:tRNA from 2 species
AUCUUUCUAGUAUUUUAACUAGUAUAGGUGGCUUCCAACCACUCGGUCUUGGUUAGACUCCAAGGAAAGAUA